rnacentral:lncRNA from 1 species
UUAAAAACUGGAGCUGAAUGAGUAGCAAUACCCUUCUGUUUUCUCACUUCCUCAAAUGUAACCUCAGUGGUACAUUGUUCCUUCUGAGCUGGUUGCUGGAUAUGAGCUUCCUGCGUAUCUUGAACAGGAUGAAUUGGGGCCUUUGCUCUCCAUUCCUGAAUCACCUUAGGCUUCUGUAUGUUGUUAGACUGGGUAGGCUUAGCCAGACAAUUGUGCCCAACUGUAAGGCAUUUCCCACAAAAAGAAGGUUUCCAAUCAUAGGUUACAUCCUGUAGGAAAAGCUUCCCAUCUGGAUCCAUUAUCUCAAUUUCACUAGGUAACUCUUUUGAAACAUUCACCUCAAUAAGGAUCCGAGCAUAUGAGAUUCUGGUUUGUUUAGU